rnacentral:rRNA from 1 species
CAGCAGCCGCGGUAAUACGUAGGGUGCGAGCGUUAAUCGGAAUUACUGGGCGUAAAGCGUGCGCAGGCGGUUAUAUAAGUCAGAUGUGAAAUCCCCGGGCUCAACCUGGGAACUGCAUUUGAGACUGUAUGGCUAGAGUGUGUCAGAGGGGGGUAGAAUUCCACGUGUAGCAGUGGAAUGCGUAGAUAUGUGGAGGAAUACCGAUGGCGAAGGCAGCCCCCUGGGAUAACACUGACGCUCAUGCACGAAAGCGCGGGGAGCAAACAGGAUUAGAUACCCCCGUAGUCCCUGUCUCUUAUAC